rnacentral:rRNA from 1 species
UUCGGGAUGCCGGCGAGUGGCGAACGGGUGAGUAAUACGUGGAAACCUAUCCCGAGGUGGGGGAUAACAGCUGGAAACGGCUGCUAAUACCGCAUAAGCCCUAAGGGGGAAAGAUUUAUCGCCUUGGGAGGGGUCCACGUCGGAUUAGCUAGUUGGUAGGGUAAAGGCCUACCAAGGCGACGAUCCGUAGCUGGUCUGAGAGGAUGGACAGCCACACUGGGACUGAGACACGGCCCAGACUCCUACGGGAGGCAGCGGUGGGGAAUAUUGCGCAAUGGGGGAAACCCUGACGCAGCGAUGCCGCGUGGGUGAAGAAGGCCUUCGGGUUGUAAAGCCCUUUCAGUGGGGAAGAUAGUGACGGUACCCACAGAAGAAGCUCCGGCUAACUCCGUGCCAGCAGCCGCGGUAAUACGGAGGGGGCGAGCGUUGUUCGGAAUUACUGGGCGUAAAGGGCGCGUAGGCGGUGCAGCAAG